rnacentral:rRNA from 1 species
GACGAACGCUGGGCGGCGUGCCUAACACAUGCAAGUCGAGCGGAGAUAGACUGAUGGUAACUGAAGCUUAUCUUAGCGGCGGACGGGUGAGUAACACGUGGGCAACCUGCCUUGGAGUGGGGGAUAACACCGGGAAAUCGGUGCUAAUACCGCAUAACAUACACAAACUGCAUGGUAAGUGUAUCAAAGGAGUAAUCCGCUUUAAGAUGGGCCCGCGGCUGAUUAGCUAGUUGGUAAGGUAACGGCUUACCAAGGCGACGAUCAGUAGCCGACCUGAGAGGGUGACCGGCCACACUGGAACUGAGACACGGUCCAGACUCCUACGGGAGGCAGCAGUGGGGAAUAUUGCGCAAUGGGGGGAACCCUGACGCAGCAACGCCGCGUGGAGGAAGAAGGUCUUCGGAUUGUAAACUCCUGUCUUCUGGGACGAAGUAUGACGGUACCAGAGGAGGAAGCCACGGCUAACUACGUG